rnacentral:rRNA from 1 species
GAGAGUUUUGUAGUAAUACGGAGCUUCUCAGUGGCGAACGGGCGAGUAACGAGUUGGUGACCUGCCCCGAAGUGUGGGAUAACAGUCCGAAAGGAUUGCUAAUACCGCAUGUGAUCAUCGGUUUUAGAAUCUGGUGAUUAAAGCAGUAAUGCGCUUCGGGAGGGACCUGCUUCCCAUCAGCUAGUUGGUGAGGUAAUGGCCCACCAAGGCUACGACGGGUAAGGGACCUGAGAGGGUGGUCCCUCGCAAUGGCACUGAAACACGGGCCAUACACCUACGGGUGGCAGCAGUAGGGAAUAUUGGGCAAUGGGCGAAAGCCUGACCCAGCAACGCCGCGUGCACGAUGAAGGCCUUCGGGUCGUAAAGUGCUUUUCUGAGGGAUGAGUAAGGACAGUACCUCAGGAAUAAGCCUCGGCUAACUACGUGCCAGCAGCCGCGGUAAAACGUAGGAGGCGAGCGUUAUCCGGAUUUACUGGGCGUAAAGCGUGUGUAGGCGGUACGGCAAGUUGGAUGUGAAAGCUCCUGGCUUAACUAGGAGAGGUCGUUCAAUACUACCGAACUUGAGGGCAUCAGAGGAAGGUGGAAUUCCCGGUGUAGUGGUGAAAUGCGUAGAUAUCGGGAGGAACACCAGUGGCGAAAGCGGCCUUCUGGGAUGAUCCUGACGCUCAGACACGAAAGCUAGGGUAGCGAACGGGAUUAGAGACCCCGGUAGUCCUAGCAGUAAACGAUGUAGACUUGGUGUCGGAGGUGUCAAAACCUUCGGUAUCGUAGCUAACGCGAUAAGUCUACCGCCUGGGGACUACGGCCGCAAGGUUAAAACUCAAAGGAAUUGA